rnacentral:rRNA from 1 species
ACCGAUCCUUCGGGAUUACUGGCGGACGGGUGAGUAACACGUGGGAACGUGCCCUUUGGUUCGGAACAACUCAGGGAAACUUGAGCUAAUACCGGAUGUGCCCUUCGGGGGAAAGAUUUAUCGCCAUUGGAGCGGCCCGCGUCUGAUUAGCUAGUUGGUGGGGUAAAGGCCCACCAAGGCGACGAUCAGUAGCUGGUCUGAGAGGAUGAUCAGCCACAUUGGGACUGAGACACGGCCCAAACUCCUACGGGAGGCAGCAGUGGGGAAUCUUGCGCAAUGGGCGAAAGCCUGACGCAGCCAUGCCGCGUGAAUGAUGAAGGUCUUAUGAUUGUAAAAUUCUUUCACCGGGGACGAUAAUGACGGUACCCGGAGAAGAAGCCCCGGCUAACUUCGUGCCAGCACCCGCGGUAAUACGAAGGGGGCUAGCGUUGCUCGGAAUUACUGGGCGUAAAGGGAGCGUAGCCGGACUCUUAAGUUAGAGGUGAAAGCCCAGGGCUCAACCUUGGAAUUGCCUUUGAUACUGGCAGUCUUGAGUACGGAAGAGGUAUGUGGAAUUCCGAUUGUAGAGGUGAAAUUGAUAGAUAUUCGGAAGAACGCCAGUGGCGAUGGCGACAUACUUGUCCGUUACUGACGUUGAGGCUGGAAAGCGUGGGGAGCAAACAGGUUUAGAUACCCUGGUGGUCCACGCCGUAAACGAUGAGUGCUAGUUGUCGGCAUGCAUGCAUGUCGGGGGCGGCACUAACGCAUUAAGCACUCCUCCUGGGGAGUUCGGUCGCAAGAUUAAAAAUCAAAGGAAUUGACGGGGGGCCGCCCAACCGGUAGGGCAGGGGGUUUAAUUGGAAGCAACGAGCAGGACCUUUCCCCCUUUUGACAUUCCUUGACCGCCACAGAGACGUGGUUUUCCCUUGGAGGUCCU